ACACCUCAACUCUCAUGGUUAGCCAUGAUGAGCUUGGACUUUGGGGGUUUUGCUGGCCUGUGGUCAGCUCCUCUCAAACGGAUCAGCUUACCAGUAUUUGGUGGCGUCACAGGUGUGAUAAUUAUCUACGCUUGCGGUUGUCUGCCGAGUGACCUUUGGUGACAGAGGUUCGCUGGAGCUUAUAAACGUCUCUCCUCAGCGAAGACAGCUUUUUGACC
rnacentral:misc_RNA from 1 species